CCUUGGUCUAUAUUUUACUCAUUACAUUGCAUCCCCCUUAACGACAACCUUGCCCUCAAGGUUGUUGAUUAAAAAUUAUAAAUCCUAGUUACAAUUAAUAAAACGAAUACAUAAGCCUAAAAAUAAUAUUUUCUAUUUUAUUUCUAUUCUAUUCUACUGCUAAAAAAUAAUAAUACUCCCCCAGGAUCCCAUUGAAAAGUUUUUGGUCCAAUCCAAACCAAUAAAUGAUAUUUAAUGCAUAAAUCUGAAUUUGGUCCCAAAAAGCUAUAAUCUUUAAAAUUGAACUUGAAUUUAAUGGAUCAGCCAUUCUCUUCUUCUUUUGGGCUUCAGAAAAUAAGGUUUGGCCCAAUACAACCCCAAACACAAUUGACCUAGUUACCUUCUCCUCCCCUGAAACAUCUCCAGCGGCUCCUUGCUUCUCUGCCAUGGACUUCACAGUUGCCGGGAGAACCACCGGCGCCGCCACUGCGUCCAACCCACCGCCACCCUUCGUGUUGCGUCGUUUGUCUCCUAACAUCCAACAAGGAGUUGCGUUCAAUUUCUCCUAAGGCCAAAGAGAGACCCUCCUAACAGCCAAAAACCAACUGCCACUCGCGGCCGUUCCGCCCGUGACCGCCGCUUGCGAGUUCAGAUGCGGUGGCUUUGGUGGUGGCCUCCGUAUCAUCGCCGCUCUUGCCCGAAGAUCUGCGUUCGCCACGGUUGCUCCAUCAACAAGGGUCGCAAACGUUCUCUGCCUCCCCUUCACGGCAGCGUCGUCCUCCACGCUGCUUGCUAUCACCUAGUCGUUCGUCACGUUUUUUCUCGCAGCUGCUCCGCCUACGCCCGCUUCGUCUGUGAACCAGCAACGCAGCUUUGGUGUCGGUUCCCGAUCCAAUAGAUCCUCGUCCUCCACCUUCCCCUUCGCGACGGCGCCGCCCUCGGAGCCGCUUCUGGCCGUGAGUUGCCAAUCGCCGUUGCCCCGAGUGGUACCAUCAGCAUCAUCACUGUCAAACGCCAUCGCGAGCCCAGAAAACCCCGGCGGCGGCAAGGCGAAGGCGUCUCCCUCUUUCACAGCCCUCCCUCUCGUCCCUGGCUCUCUCUCCCUCACGUCUCUCUCUCCCUCACAGCUGCCAAGGCGGCAAGGCGCGCUCGUCUCUCCUCUCUCAGGUCUGUGGCGGACAGCGGUGAGGUGCUCCUGUUCUCUGCCGAAAAGGUCCUUGUCUGAGAAGUUGAGAGCAACCAAGACCCACAAGGGCUACUAGAAUUGUAGGCUGAACGUUUUGGUUCUUCCGGAUUCACCCAACUCCUUCCCUCAUUAUUGGGUUGAUUUGGUGAGCAACUUCAUUUAUUGAUUGUGGCUAAUGAAAGAGGGUGUUCCAGCAUUGCAUUUGCAUCACAAGGUAGCUCUUCUCUUGGAAUCAUCAUGCAAAACCCAAUCCCACAUUUCUCAAAUUCACGCCUUUAUGCUCAAAACCGCACUCAUCAACCUUCCCUUCCCGCUCAGCAAGCUCCUCGCAGCAUCAAUCUCACACGUCCACUACGCUGCCUCCAUUUUCAAUUCUGCUCCAAACCCCAAUCUUUUCAUGUUCAACACUAUGCUUAGAGGAUAUUCCAUCAGCAACUCCCCUGCCAAGGCCUUGCCCCUUUUCAACCAACUUAGGAACUGCCCAAUUCUCAUUGACCGCUUCUCUUUCAUCACUGUCAUCAAGGCUUGUACUAGGCUUUCCAACCUUGUCUUUGGGCGAGGCCUUCAUGGCCUUGCACUCAGGUCUGGAACUCUGCUUUUUCUUGAUUUCAGGAAUACCCUUUUGCAUUUCUACUGUGUUUCCAGGAGACUUGGAGAUGCUCACAACCUGUUUGAUGAAUUUCCCCGACGAAAUGACUUGGUCUCAUGGAACACUUUGAUGGCUGGCCACCUUCUUGCUUCUAAGCCUGAGCUGACCUUUCAUUUGUUUCGGAAGAUGCGUUGUUGCGGGGUUGAAGCGAGUGUUGCAACUGCAUUGAGUCUUUUGUCGGCAGCUACUGAUAUGCAAAGUUUUCUUGGAGGGAAGUGUCUUCAUGGUUACUAUAUCCGACUUGGACUUAGUUCUAAUUUGAAUGUUCUUACUGCAUUGAUUGAUCUCUAUGCAAGAAUGGGUCGUAUCUUUUUGGCACAUCGAGUUUUUGAUGGUGUUGCUCAAAAGGACGUUAUCCUGUGGAACUGCUUGAUUGGCAAGUAUGCAAGAAAUGGGCUGCUUGGAGAAGCAGUAAAAUUGCUGCAGCAAAUGAGUCUUGAAGGGUGUAAACCUAAUUCUUCUACUUUAGUUGGGUUGCUUUCGGGUUGCCCUGCUUCCGGAUCUAUGCAAGUAGUACGAUACGUUACUAAUUUUAUGGUAGAGGAGAAACUAGAGCUGGAUGCAGUUCUUGGAACAGCACUUGUUAAUGCAUAUGCCAAAUGUGGCUUUCUAGACGAGGCUACGGACAUAUUUGAGAGGAUGAAGGGUAAAGAUAUGAAAGCAUGGAAAGCCAUGAUUUCAGGUCAUGGAAUUCACGGCCAGCCGACUAAUGCUGUUAAUCUUUUCAACAGGAUGGAGAAUGAAGGGUUUAGACCAAAUGAGGUUACAUUCUUGGCAGUUCUCAGUGCUUGUAGCCAUGGAGGGCUUGUAAUUGAGGGGAUGGAAAUUUUUAAGAGCAUGGUUUGCAAAUAUGGCUUUUCACCACAAGUUGAACAUUAUGGAUCUCUCAUUGAUCUUCUAGGUCGAGCAGGGAUGCUACAUGAAGCGCACAAACUAAUUGAAAGUUUGCCUAUUAAGGGCGAUGCAACUGCAUGGCGUACAUUGCUUUCUGCUUGCCGAGUCUAUGGUGAUGUUAAAUUGGGGGAAUGUGUGAAAGAUGUGCUAAGCAGCAUUUAUACAGAGCAUCCUACAGAUUCACUCCUGAUUUCUGGCAUUUACGUUGCUGCUGGAAGAAUCUCAGAUCUAAUAAGAUUGCAAGAAAUGAAGCAAACUAAUGCUGUUACAGUUGGAACUGAUGGAGGAAAUAUGUUGAAGGAAGCUGGAGUCAGUAUAGUUGAAAUUGAUAAUCAGGGAUGAGGAUAUUGAUGGUUCAAGUAAAAUCAUUGUCUCUAACUCUAUCACGCAUAGUGGUGGUCUCAAUACCUCGGGACAUGAUACAAUUUUGAUGUCAACAUUCAAUUGCGCAAUAUGGCAUCUCUGCAUGUAUGGCAUGAUUCAUGUCCACCAAAUUAGAUAAUAUUGUGAUUUGCUCCUAGAGCACCAUACCGUCAAUAAACCCAACAAGGGUAAAGCAAGAAGAGGAUGUAAUAGCAGUUAAUCAGCUGCUAUUUUGGAUUGGUAAAUUGCUUCUGGUCUUAAUCUUCCGUUACCAAUCAUUCUUUCAAGCAUUUCAUUAGUGCCUUCACUGGGAACAUCAUCUUCCGGUGGUAUUGCUUCAUCUGAUGAUGCCUCUGAGAGGAUCAAAUCAGGCUUCAUUCACUUCAAGAAAGAGAAAUGAACAAGCUGAGGCGGAUGCUGAGAGGAUUGGUGUUGGUGUUACUAGCAAGGCACAGCAUCUUUGAUGCUUUGUCCAAAACGCAAUACAUUAGACCUUUCUAUAUGAACCCACAACUUUCGCACCUGCCGCAGAUGCCACAAACUUCUCACAUGUGGUAUGUUCCAAAAAAGAACAUAUUCAGCAAGUAAGACGAUGUUUUGACUGUGGCUGAGAGAUACAUGGAAGAGCAUGGACAGAAGCCUUUGAAAGACUCAUAAGCUGGGUAACAAAAAUUUGCUAUGUUGUGCACACUACAUGAUUCACAACUUUCUCACCCUUUAGCUUAGAUUUAGCACUAUCUCUGUCAAAACUCAAUGACUUCACAGGGAGGAAGACGCUUUACAGUGAUCAAAUAAUGUACUAUAUGUUAUUUGUAAUAUUGCAUAUGGAGGUUGAUUGUCGUAUUCAGUUUUGGUUAUUCAAACAUUUUGGAACAAUAGGCCACUAGAAAUUAUUGUAGUUAACGUAUCAUGUGCUAUAAUACUUGGCUUAGUUGGCUGACUUGAUUGUUUAUUUAAUUAUUAAAUAUAUUCUAAUUUUAGUUUUAUUUCAA